rnacentral:hammerhead_ribozyme from 1 species
AUCCAACUGACGAGUCCUAAAUAGGACGAAAUGCGUUUCCUUAAU